rnacentral:rRNA from 1 species
GAGUGAACGCUGGCGGUAGGCCUAACACAUGCAAGUCGAACGGCAGCACAGUAAGAGCUUGCUCUUACGGGUGGCGAGUGGCGGACGGGUGAGGAAUACAUCGGAAUCUACUUUUUCGUGGGGGAUAACGUAGGGAAACUUACGCUAAUGCCGCAUACGACCUACGGGUGAAAGCAGGGGAUCUUCGGACCUUGCGCGAUUGAAUGAGCCGAUGUCGGAUUAGCUAGUUGGCGGGGUAAAGGCCCACCAAGGCGACGAUCCGUAGCUGGUCUGAGAGGAUGAUCAGCCACACUGGAACUGAGACACGGUCCAGACUCCUACGGGAGGCAGCAGUGGGGAAUAUUGGACAAUGGGCGCAAGCCUGAUCCAGCCAUACCGCGUGGGUGAAGAAGGCCUUCGGGUUGUAAAGCCCUUUUGUUGGGAAAGAAAAGCAGCAGGUUAAUACCCCGCUGUUCUGACGGUACCCAAAGAAUAAGCACCGGCUAACUUCGUG